rnacentral:rRNA from 1 species
CGGAACACGUACAGAACCUUCCUUUAAGCGGGGGAUAGCCCAUAGAAAUGUGGAUUAAUACCCCAUAGUAAUAUUGUCUGGCAUCAGAUGGUAUUUAAAGAUUUAUCACUUAAAGAUGGCUGUGCGGCUGAUUAGGUAGUUGGUGUGGGUAACGGCCCACCAAGCCAGCGAUCAGUAACUGGUGUGAGAGCACGACCAGUCACACGGGCACUGAGACACGGGCCCG